rnacentral:ncRNA from 1 species
UUAUCACUAGGCCUACACAUGCAAGUUGCCGCACUCCGGUGAGAAUGCCCUCCAAGUCAACCAAGACCAAAAGGUGCGGGCAUCAAGCACACUUCCAAUUACAAGCAGCUCACGACGCCUUGCUCAGCCACACCCCCACGGGUAACAGCAGUGAUAGACAUUAAGCAAUGAACGAAAGUUUGACUUAGCCAUACUAACCGUACUCAAAGGGUUGGUAAAUUUCGUGCCAGCCACCGCGGUCAUACGAUUAACCCAUAUUAAUAACAUACGGCGUAAAGAGUGUUUUAGAUAAACAUCUAAUAAGGUUAAGUUCUAAGUAAGCUGUAAAAAGCCCUAGUUAGAGUAAAAAUAAGCAGCGAAAGCAACCUUAAACCUUUGAUAACACGACAGUUAAGACCCAAACUGGGAUUAGAUACCCCACUAUGCUUAACCGUAAACUCAAAUAAUCAACCAACAAAAUUACUCGCCAGAGUACUACAAGCAACAGCUUAAAACUCAAAGGACUUGGCGGUGCUUUAUAUCCCCCUAGAGGAGCCUGUUCUAUAAUCGAUAAACCCCGAUAAACCUCACCACUCCUUGCUAAUUCAACCUAUAUACCGCCAUCCUCAGCAAACCCUGUCAAGGUGACAAAGUAAGCAAGAGAAUCACACAUUAAAACGUUAGGUCAAGGUGUAGUCUAUGGAGCGGGAAGAAAUGGGCUACAUUUUCUACUCACCACAGAACAACACGCCAGCCCCAAUGAAACUAAGGCGCAAGGCGGAUUUAGUAGUAAAUUAAGAAUAGAGAGCUUAAUUGAAUAGGGCAAUGAAGCACGCGUACACGCCC